CCUACGGGAGGCAGCAGUGAGGAAUAUUGGUCAAUGGGCGGAAGCCUGAACCAGCCAAGUCGCGUGAGGGAAUAAGGCCCUACGGGUCGUAAACCUCUUUUGCCGGGGAGCAAGGGCGGGGACGUGUCCCGGCCCGGAGAGUACCCGGAGAAAAAGCCCCGGCUAACUACGUGCCAGCAGCCGCGGUAAUACGUAGGGGGCGAGCGUUAUCCGGAUUUACUGGGUGUAAAGGGAGCGUAGACGGUUCUGCAAGUCUGAAGUGAAAGCCCGUGGCUUAACCGCGGAACGGCUUUGGAAACUGUGGAACUGGAGUGCUGGAGAGGCAAGCGGAAUUCCUAGUGUAGCGGUGAAAUGCGUAGAUAUUAGGAGGAACACCAGUGGCGAAGGCGGCUUGCUGGACAGUAACUGACGUUGAGGCUCGAAAGUGUGGGUAUCAAACAGGAUUAGAUACCCCAGUAGUC
rnacentral:rRNA from 1 species